GACGAACGCUGGCGGCGUGCUUUACACAUGCAAGUCGAGCGAUGAGAUCCCUUCGGGGAAGGAUUAGCGGCGAACGGGUGAGGAACACGUGAGGAAUCUGCCUUCAACACUGGGAUAACUCCGGGAAACCGGGGCUAAUACCGGAUACGAGACCUGCAGGCAUCUGCGGGUCUGGAAAGUUUUUCGGUUGAAGAUGACCUCGCGGCCUAUCAGCUUGUUGGUGAGGUAAUGGCUCACCAAGGCGACGACGGGUAGCCGGCCUGAGAGGGCGACCGGCCACACUGGGACUGAGACACGGCCCAGACUCCUACGGGAGGCAGCAGUGGGGAAUAUUGGGCAAUGGAGGGAACUCUGACCCAGCGACGCCGCGUGCGGGAUGAAGGCCUUCGGGUUGUAAACCGCUUUCAGCAAGGAAGAAGCGAAAGUGACGGUACUUGCAGAAGAAGCACCGGCUAACUAUGUGCCAGCAGCCGCGGUAAUACAUAGGGUGCAAGCGUUGUCCGGAAUUAUUGGGCGUAAAGAGCUCGUAGGUGGUUCGUCACGUCGGAUGUGAAAAUCUGGGGCUUAACCCCAGACCUGCAUUCGAUACGGGCGAGCUAGAGUGUGGUAGGGGAGACUGGAAUUCCUGGUGUAGCGGUGGAAUGCGCAGAUAUCAGGAGGAACACCAAUGGCGAAGGCAGGUCUCUGGGCCAUUACUGACACUGAGGAGCGAAAGCGUGGGGAGCGAACAGGAUUAGAUACCCUGGUAGUCCACGCCGUAAACGGUGGGCACUAGUUGUGGGAACCUUCCACGGUUUCUGCGACGCAGCUAACGCAUUAAGUGCCCCGCCUGGGGAGUACGAUCGCAAGAUUA
rnacentral:rRNA from 1 species